rnacentral:rRNA from 1 species
AUGCUGAUGCGUCGCCGCCACCUGCUGGGCCCGGUCCUCCCCCGCCUCCUCCUCACCGCCCUCCUCCUCGCGUCGGCCGUCGCAUUCCUCCCCCGCGCGGCCGGCGACGACGCCGCCGAGGCGGGCGACGAGCGCCGCGUGGGCGAGGCGGUCGCGGCGGUGGAGCGCGCGGACGCCGCCCUGGGGGCCGCCGAGGCCGGCGGGGAGGCGGCGCAGGGCAAUGCCACGAACAAGGAGCACAGCCUCGCCGACAUGAUCGACCGCGCGCUGGAGAAGGAGUUCCCCGACUCGGAGGGCGACCAGGGCGGCGGAGAGAUGGACCCCGGCAGCUUCAACAACACGGUCGCGGAGAAGCAGGGAGUUCUGGAAACUGUGGCCAGAAGAGUAACGAAGAAGAAUGAGACCAAAGACAAUAACUCAUUCCCAUUCAAGGAGGUUUUCUUGGAUCGGUCAGAGCAAGAGGAUGUUCCCACGUUGAUUGACCGGAAGGAUAAUGUUUUUAUUAUAUCAAAUCGGAAGUCAAAGUACCCUGUACUGCAGCUGGACCUUACGUUGAUCUCAGAUCUUGUUGUCGUUAUUGUAUCUGCUACAUGUGGUGGAAUUACCUUUGCUUGCCUUGGACAACCAGUCAUUACAGGUUAUUUGCUUGCAGGUUCUAUAAUUGGCCCUGGAGGUUUUAGCUUUGUCAACGAACUGGUGCAAGUUGAGACAGUAGCUCAGUUUGGUGUGAUAUUUCUCCUUUUUGCUCUAGGACUUGAGUUCUCUACCGCAAAACUACGAGCUGUACGUGCAGUUGCCGUUCUUGGAGGAUUGCUGCAAAUUAUACUUUUUAUGUUCCUUUGUGGUAUUUCUGCCACGCUAUGUGGGGGUAAAACAAAGGAAGGUGUUUUUGUUGGCGUUCUUCUUUCUAUGUCUUCGACAGCAGUGGUUUUAAAAUUUUUGAUGGAAAAAAAUAGUAUCAAUGCACUUCAUGGCCAAGUGACGGUUGGCAUACUCGUAUUGCAGGAUUGUGCUGUUGGUCUUCUGUUUGCACUUCUUCCAAUUUUGAGCGGCGCCUCUGGUCUUCUUCAUGGAGUUGCGUCAAUGACAAAAUCGUUUGUGCUAUUAAUAUCGUUCCUGGGAAUUCUCUCUAUCCUCUCCCGUACUUGUGUGCCUUGGUUUCUUAAGCUGAUGAUAAGUCUUUCGUCUCAGACAAAUGAACUGUACCAGUUGGCAGCAGUUGCAUUCUGCCUGUUAUUUGCUUGGUGCAGUGAUAAAUUGGGUCUGAGUCUUGAGUUGGGUUCAUUUGCAGCUGGCGUUAUGAUAUCAACAACCGAUCUUGCUCAACAUACUCUUGAACAAAUUGAACCGAUUCGAAAUCUCUUUGCCGCCCUUUUCCUUGCCAGCAUUGGGAUGCUAAUUAACGUCCAUUUUCUGUGGAACCAUGUGGAUAUACUUCUUGCAGCUGUAAUUUUGGUGAUAACAAUAAAGACAUUUAUUGUCUCUAUUGUCGUAAAAGGGUUUGGCUAUAACAACAAAACAUCUCUUCUUGUCGGCAUGUCUCUUGCACAAAUUGGAGAGUUUGCUUUUGUUCUUCUUAGCCGUGCUUCAAGCAUCCAUCUGAUUGAGGGCAAGCUGUAUCUACUUCUUCUUGGAACCACAGCGCUUAGCUUGGUAACAACACCCCUGCUAUUCAAAAUGAUCCCAGCCGUGGUCCACCUUGGUGUUCUUUUGAGAUGGUUUUCCGUCGAUAGCAAUCAGGUGGAGUUGGGCCUAAAAGGCGAAGUCCUCCGCAAUGAUAGCGGCAAGCGCAUAAAUUUGAUAAUCCAAGGCCCACACGACUCAUGA